rnacentral:lncRNA from 1 species
CCCAAGGCGAAUUCAGUAAAUGGGGCCUCUUUUUUUUAAAUAAUAAUUUUUUUUAAUAAAUAUAAAAUACUUAAAAAAUAUUAUGGAAAUAGAUUGCUGUCAAGUACACUAUUUUAACAAAAAUGCAUGAAUCUAAUAAAGGUCGACAAAAAGCCUCUUCAGUUUAAUAUAAUUCUUGAAUGAAAAUAUUAAAAAAAAAUACUUAAAAAAAAAAAGGCCAUGGAACUGUUCUUGGCAAUACUGUUUACCAUGUGAAGCGAGAGCAGAAUAGGAAAAUGGCCAUCCCAUGGCGCUUCACGGUCAAAAAAAUUUGUCCAAGAGAAAGUAGGGUCAUUAUGGAAAAUUCACUCCAUCUAAUUAAUAAAAGUCCCAUCCCACCAUCUUCCCUUCAAGUGAGUACCCAAGCAGCCCCUGCAACAUCACGGAACAGCAGCCAUUCAACCCCCCCCUCCCUCCUUCUCUUUCUCUA